AGUCCAACGCCUCCCUCUUUCUUGCCAAUCCACCUCCCUGCCUCUCGUUCUAUUCCUACUCCUUUCUCCCUCCCCUGGUUGAGGGCCGGCACGAGCAAAGGAAUUUGGUUGGGAUUCUAACAUUCAAGUCCAUGGAUUCGGAUAUGGAGGUGUGCAAGUGUGUCUGUGUAUGGUUCUUCUAGCUAGUGCUUCAUGCAGGGUCUCGUUUCGUCAUCGGCUUGUGGGAUUUUGGCUGUGCUUUAAGCUGUUGUAAUCAAGCCAUGGAGACAGCUGAGCUAUCGCCGGUUGUCAUCUUACGUGAGGUACUCAAGCAUUUAAGCUUAGCGCAAGCAGUGUACGCUCAUACAUUUGUAGCGGAUACCCACCACAAAGCAUCUGUGCAUCUCCCUUUACCUGCCGAACUAACCGAAGAUCAAAGUGCCAUCUAUUGUGUAAUGGGGAACCUUAGCGAGACUUUACCAGGUGCGGAAAAAGACGCUGCACACCGUGCUCUUCUUUUCUUGCAGCAGAAAGCGAACCUUCAAGUACGUGACUACAGCUAUAUCUUAAUUACCAAGAUCAGACAAUUUUAGCUCAACGUCUUACCAUGGCGAAUGAAAUUCAAACAUUGCUCAAUGCUUGGGAGAAAAUGACUAUCCAGUUGCAUGCAUCAUCAAAGAAUGUUGAAGAUACAUUGUUAUCCUAUUUCUCUGUACACUCUACGGGGCCUGAGUGAAAUCCACACUAUGGUUUCUCAUAUAAAACAGCUGACACACUCUGUGCAAACUUCAUCUCACACCUCACUUGCGAAGGUGAAGCAGUUUGAGCGAGAAUACUCCUCUAUAGAUGUUUAUCUUCAGAUGAUAACUCUGUUGGUUGGCAAAAGCCAGAUCUUGAUCACAUGGCCGUAGUCGUCCUCUCUCCAAAGUUUAUGUUUAGUGACAUGAUGAUGGCAGCUCAGCUUCCUAUGCCAACAUACACUCGCACCGAGAUAUAUGAGGAUGAAUAUGCCAGCUGCAUCGAAUUUUUUCUCGAUAUAAAUUUAUUCAUCCAAGAUGGGCCACGACAGAAGAUAUGUGGCUUUGCACAAGCUUCACAGCAAGCUGCUGAAGAAACAGCUGCUCUCCAAGCGAUUACAUAUAUGGAAUCAGAAGCGCAUAUACAGCUCCGAGAUUUCAACUACGCUGAGAAGGAAAAUGCAUUAGAUGAGCAUAGAUCUUUGUUAAAGAAGACAAAGAAGCAGGUGAGGGCAAUGAAAAGGAUCUCUAAAGAUUGGAACACUAAAAUGAAUGAAUUUGCAGCAGCUUGUGAUCUGUUCAAUACUAAUGUUUCUUGCGAAGCAUUCUGCAAUUCUGAGGUGACUUUACAACCAGGUGUGUUGUCUGUUAUCAAGCAUAUGGAAUCAGUCAUGCAAGAAAUUUGCAAGUCUCUUCAAGAAGCAGCAGCCAUCUUCCAAGAGCAUGGUGUUUGCCCAUUUAGUGCAGCUGACGAAUAACCGGUUCACCAUCUCGUGGGUCAAUCCAGUUCCUACCACAUACAUAUGAAAUCUGUUUGGUAUCUUAUGCAUGUUUAGUUUCCUCAACUCGGUGCAAGACUUUGUAAUGGCACCUCAAUAUAAAUAGGUCGCUUGUUCACCGCUUGUACAAAACA